rnacentral:rRNA from 2 species
GASCCSRAGCGUUGUCGGAUUUAUUGGGCGUAAGCGAGCGCAKGCGGUUUUUUAAKUCUGAUGUGAAAGCCUUCGGCUUAACCGGAGAAGUGCAUCGRAAACUGGGAGACUUGAKUGCAKAARAGGACAGUGGAACUCCAUGUGUAGCGKUGGAAUGCGUAGAUAUWUGGAAGAACACCAGUGGCGAAGGCGGYUGUCUAGUCUGUAACUGACGCUGAGGCUCGAAAGCAUGGGUAGCGAACAGGAUUAGAUACCCUGGUAGUCCAUGCCGUAAACGAUGAGUGCUAAGUGUUGGAGGGUUUCCGCCCUUCAGUGCUGCAGCUAACGCAUUAAGCACUCCGCCUGGGGAGUACGACCGCAAGGUUGAAACUCAAAGGAAUUGACGGGGGCCCGCACAAGCGGUGGAGCAUGUGGUUUAAUUCGAAGCUACGCRAAGAACCUUACCAGGUCUUGACAUCUUCUGCCAAUCUUAGAGAUAAGACGUUCCCUUCGGGGACAGAAUGACAGGUGGUGCAUGGUUGUCGUCAGCUCGUGUCGUGAGAUGUUGGGUUAAGUCCCGCAACGAGCGCAACCCUUAUUAUCAGUUGCCAGCAUUCAGUUGGGCACUCUGGUGAGACUGCCGGUGACAAACCGGAGGAAGGUGGGGAUGACGUCAAAUCAUCAUGCCCCUUAUGACCUGGGCUACACACGUGCUACAAUGGACGGUACAACGAGUCGCGAAGUCGUGAGGCUAAGCUAAUCUCUUAAAGCCGUUCUCAGUUCGGAUUGUAGGCUGCAACUCGCCUACAUGAARUUGGAAUCGCUAGUAAUCGCGGAUCAGCAUGCCGCGGUGAAUACGUUUCCCGGGCCUUGUACACACCGMCCGUCA